UGGGGAAUAUUGGACAAUGGGGGCAACCCUGAUCCAGCGAUGCCGCGUGAGUGAAGAAGGCCUUCGGGUCGUAAAGCUCUUUAGGUUGGGAAGAAGGAUGUGUGGUGAAUAUCCAUGCAUUUUGACGGUACCGACAGAAUAAGCACCGGCAAACUCUGUGCCAGCAGCCGCGGUAAUACAGAGGGUGCGAGCGUUAAUCGGAAUUACUGGGCGUAAAGGGCGCGUAGGCGGUUAGUUAAGUGUGAUGUGAAAGCCCCGGGCUUAACCUGGGAAGAGCAUCGCAAACUGGCUGACUGGAGUAUAUGAGAGGGUGGCGGAAUUUCCGGUGUAGCGGUGAAAUGCGUAGAGAUCGGAAGGAACGUCGAUGGCGAAGGCAGCCACCUGGCAUAAUACUGACGCUGAUGCGCGAAAGCGUGGGGAGCGAACAGGAUUAGAUACCCCCGUAGUCC
rnacentral:rRNA from 1 species